rnacentral:misc_RNA from 1 species
AAUGUACGAUGAGUUUGUUGCGUUUGGUGUAUGUACUUCACUUCUGGCGAAUCAUCGCGUGGCAAAUUUAAACGCAAACACAUAUUGUUAAUAUUAACGAAAAAAUGAAUAACGCAAUAGUGGUCUACUCAAAGUUAAAUUGAGUGAAAUGAGUUCAGCUAUUCUUAAACAAGUACAUGUGAAUUUUGUAUUCUGUUAAGGGUAGCUCCCUUGAAGGGACCAUUAUCAUUUAAAAGCCUGUUUCUAUAUUCUCGAAACAAGAACUAGAUACAUCCCUGAACGUAAAUCUAUGCACAAGAUUAAGAUUUGCGAAAGCAGGAGAAGGGAACAGGAGAAGUCGAUGUAUCGGUACGAAAUCGCCGUAAUUCAAGGCUGGCUGCACGUUCAGCUCGAGCACAAAAGAGAGGUCGUAAAGAUACGAUAUAAAUAAGAAAAAGGGAUCCAACGAAACAAACGAGACUCGAUUCCAUUCAUCAGGCUUUUAUGCGAUCAACCUGAACUGUAGCUGCAUCAACUUAUAAGCAUUCACAGCGACCAAAACGUCGCACACACGUGUUUCUCUCCCUCUCUCUGUCGCCGUCACUAUAACGAUUACUCUCUCGGUUGUUUACCUCUCUGCACUUUC